AGUAUUCCACUUCGGUCUAAGAGCGUACGGCGAGGAGUACGUUCGCAAUGAUGAUGGUCAGAAUAUUCUUCGGCCCAGCAGGAUACAGGCGAUCUUAGCACAGGUAUAUAUUAGCCAGCAAGGACAAGUCCGACGAUAAUGGGACGCACUGGCAUUCAUCGACCGAGAGUUCACAAUUCAUCCACGGAUUACGUAUUCCUGAACGAGAAAAACUCCACACUGUUGAGGCAUUUCAAUGUUUUUAUGCAAUUAGACGAAAACCAGCAAUGGCAUAGAACUCCGAUCUAUACGUUUAUUUCCGAUCACAAUGUAAGGUCACCUCCUCAAAAGAAUGUGAUUUUUUAAAUCCCAUAUCUCCGACGAGUUGCAUUCCAAAUAAAAAAAAUCAAAGUUUCAUUCAAAAGAUAAUUAGCCAAGUAAACUUUGAACAUGAUUUUGGCGAGACCUUUCUGAAAA